UGCAAGUCGAACGUGAAAGCACUUCGGUGUGAGUAGAGUGGCGGACGGGUGAGUAACGCGUGGGAAUCUGCCCAGUAGUGGGGGACAACUACCGGAAACGGUAGCUAAUACCGCAUACGCCCUAUGGGGGAAAGGCUUCGGCCGCUAUUGGAUGAGCCCGCGUCAGAUUAGCUAGUUGGUAGGGUAAAAGCCUACCAAGGCAACGAUCUGUAGCUGGUCUGAGAGGACGAACAGCCACACUGGGACUGAGACACGGCCCAGACUCCUACGGGAGGCAGCAGUGGGGAAUAUUGGACAAUGGGCGAAAGCCUGAUCCAGCAAUGCCGCGUGUGUGAAGAAGGCCUGCGGGUUGUAAAGCACUUUCAGUUGGGAAGAUGAUGACGUUACCAACAGAAGAAGCACCGGCUAAAUCCGUGCCAGCAGCCGCGGUAAUACGGAUGGUGCGAGCGUUAAUCGGAAUUACUGGGCGUAAAGCGCGCGUAGGCGGCUAAGUCAGUCAGAAGUGAAAGCCCCGGGCUCAACCUGGGGAAUUGCUUUUGAUACUGCUUGGCUAGAGUUUGGUAGAGGAUAGUGGAAUUCC
rnacentral:rRNA from 1 species